GUUGACCGCCUGGGGAGUACGGCCGCAAGGUUAAAACUCAAAGGAAUUGACGGGGACCCGCACAAGCGGUGGAUUAUGUGGAUUAAUUCGAUGCAACGCGAAAAACCUUACCUACCCUUGACAUGUACGGAAUUCCGCAGAGAUGUGGAAGUGCCCGAAAGGGAACCGUAACACAGGUGCUGCAUGGCUGUCGUCAGCUCGUGUCGUGAGAUGUUGGGUUAAGUCCCGCAACGAGCGCAACCCUUGCCAUUAGUUGCUACAUUCAGUUGGGCACUCUAGUGGGACCGCCGGUGACAAACCGGAGGAAGGUGGGGAUGACGUCAAGUCCUCAUGGCCCUUAUGGGUAGGGCUUCACACGUAAUACAAUGGUCGGUACAGAGGGCAGCCAACCCGCGAGGGGGAGCUAAUCCCAGAAAGCCGAUCGUAGUCCGGAUUGUAGUCUGCAACUCGACUGCAUGAAGCCGGAAUCGCUAGUAAUCGCGGAUCAGCAUGUCGCGGUGAAUACGUUCCCGGGUCUUGUACACACCGCCCGUCACACCAUGGGAGUGGGUUCCACCAGAAGUAGGUAGCCUAACCGCAAGGGGGGCGCUUACCACGGUGAGAUUCAUGACUGGGGUGAAGUCGUAACAAGGUAAGUAUU
rnacentral:rRNA from 1 species